rnacentral:rRNA from 1 species
UACGUAGGGACCGAGCGUUGUCCGGAAUCAUUGGGCGUAAAGAGCGUGUAGGCGGCUUGUUAAGUCUUGCGUGAAAUCUCGGGGCUCAACCCCGAGCGGUCGUGAGAAACUGGCAGGCUAGAGUGCGGGAGAGGAGAGUGGAAUUCCUGGUGUAGCGGUGAAAUGCGCAGAUAUCAGGAAGAACACCCGUGGCGAAGGCGGCUCUCUGGAACGCAACUGACGCUGAGGCGCGAAAGCGUGGGGAGCAAACAGG